AAAAAAGCAAAAUGAAAUUAUAUCAAAAAAAGAUAGGAAGAAAACAUGGACCUUUUCAUUUUGCUAUGAUUUCUCACGGAAAUUCCUUUUGAGAUUUCAAUUUUGAUAUUGUGGGGGCCACACAUUUUCAAAAGAAUCCUGACUUCUUUUCCAAGGACGACACACACAUAUAUACGAGGAUUCACGUCACUUUCAGAGGGGGGGCCACACGGUUUUGGACACUUCUUUUUCUCCAAGCAAUUACUCCAUUUUCAUGGACAAAAACACAGAAAUAGAGUGAGAGGGACGGGAAUAAUAGUGAGAGGGCUCACCCAUCUUCUUCUCCAAAAAAUCCGCCGCCACCCUCCACCAGCGAGUUUAGCCGGGAAAUCCGGCAACCACACCCCUCCAUUUCCUCUGUUGUCCACCACCACCUAGCAACAACGACCCAUCUCCCUUACUCUAAAAACAACCAGCAGCCACACACCACCAAACCAACCGGACCUCUUCUGUAGAAAACAUCCAUGCUCACUUUCUCUCUCUAUCUAGUCUCCAAUUUGUCAAUCAUCACUCUUCUCCUUUUCUAAUUUCUUCAGAAAUAUCAGCUAAAUUGGAAAAAAUCGGCUGCUAGAAUGCUUCUUCGGUUAAGCUCGCCAUAAAUGUGAAACCUCUGUUCUAUCUCGUGCUUCCUACUCCUCUGCUGCUUAGUUGCAUUUGUUUCUGCUCAAAUAUCUAACAAUGCUACCUCUAAAUGGCUUACACUGAGCGAUCUCGCUUGAGGUUGAGUCCAGUUGGGGAUUUUCAUUUUUGUCGCGAUUUCCAAUCCGAUCAACGGUUCAAGCUUCGUUUCAUCUGUUCAUGUUGGGAUUUGUUCAAAUUUUGAUCGGAAAUCUGUGUAUAUGUUUCAAAGUAUCAAGGGAGUUUUCACUACUUGAAGAUCCAGGUAUUUCUAAACCUAGUAGCGGGUGUUGAUUAUUCAGUGGCAGGUCCAUCGGAGUUAGCAAGGUAGCUUCCUGGAAAUCGCAACCCUGCUUCUCUCCCUCCUUAUCCUCCCUUAGGUGUAAUUAGUUAUUUCUAGGCUAUGUUAGUCUUGUUAUUGUUAGACGGUUGUAGUAGAUGCUCAUGACUAGUGACACCCUGAUGUCGGGCUUUCUUUCCACACUGUUGUUUUGAUUUAAACAUGUUAUGAAGGUUUAUUGUUAAAUAGCUUUGAUUUUAUCUUUAAAAUGAAAAUAUUGAUUGGUUUUUGGAAA